rnacentral:rRNA from 1 species
AGGUGAACCUGCGGAAGGAUCAUUAACAAAAACCCAUG